CUUCCCACCAGUAUUUCGUUACAUUUAUUAUUGUGUGACAGAUGACAGCAGAGGGGCAGAAUGGUGUCUGACAUGGAACUCCUGAUGAAGCAAGGGUGUGUCCUUGAAUUCCUCCACGUCGAAAAAAUGGCACCGUUGACAUUCAUUGACACUUGCUGAAUGUUUGUGGAGACCAAUCAGUAGAGGGCUGAAAGCUUGGAGAGACAGGAGGAUGCGCAGCAUAUGUGUGCAGCCUUAAUAUCCAAGGUGGCCUGGAGAAGGAUAUGAGCACUACUUUAUAUUGGCAGUGGCAGGCAGAACUCAGUAUGCAAAGUACAAUGACGUUUUGUGAGUGGAGGUGAUCUGAAAAGUCACAGUUUAAUCAUGUGUUAUCAAAAUUGAAGUAUAUGCAUGGACCUAUUCUAAGAACUAAAUUAAAAUACUGUCUAAAAUCUGAUAUGUUUUCACUGCAGAGAAUGGAAGAUUUUUCGUUUUCUCCGAUUGCAUUUUUAUUUCCCAAGAAAAUUGUUACAGAACUUGCUGUCUUCUUGCAGAGGUGACACUGUGCUUCAGAAUACAGCAGGGAAUACUACUGCAUACUACUGUGGGUGUCUUUUUUAUUGAACUAGUGUGCAAGUUGAGAGCCAGCUUCACAGACUUGUCAUUGAACAUUGUGGUGCAUAUUGUUGUUCCCAGGUUGUCUAGAGGACAUUAUUGAAUAGAUCUGGAAAAUAAAUAAAUAACCCCCAACUGUGUUCAGAAGG
ensembl:lncRNA